rnacentral:rRNA from 1 species
GGACAUGUGGGGUGAUAGGCAGUUGUGAGACCGGAGGUGCGAACGGUGUGCUGGAGGUGGUGGGGUACAGCGAGUGUAGGCGGGGUUGUAAUGCGGAUGUGACAGCCCCGGGCUCAACCCUGGAAGUGCACUCGAUACUGCAAGACUUGAGUACCGGAGAGGGUGGUGGAAUUCUCGGUGUAGAGGUGAAAUUCGUAGAUAGCGAGAGGAACACCGGUGGCGAAGGCGGCCAACUGGACGAGUACUGACGCUGAGACUCGAAAGCGUGGGGAGCAAACAGGAUUAGAUACCCUUGUAGUC